GGAUGUGUCAGCUCAGUGGUUAGAGCUUAGGUAUUGUGACAGGGAGGUCGCGGGAUCGACUCUCGCCAGAGGCA
rnacentral:tRNA from 1 species